GCCCGCUUGGUGGAAUUGGUAGACACUACGGACUUAAAAUCCGUUGGCUUUAUGCCGUGCCGGUUCGAGUCCGGCAGUGGGUA
rnacentral:tRNA from 1 species